rnacentral:rRNA from 1 species
CUACGGAGGGUGCAAGCGUUACUCGGAAUCACUGGGCGUAAAGCGCGCGCAGGCGGCUAUUUAAGUUGGAUGUGAAAGCCUACGGCUCAACCGUAGAACUGCAUCCAAAACUAUUUAGCUAGAGUGUGGGAGAGGAAGAUGGAAUUAGUUGUGUAGGGGUAAAAUCCGUAGAGAUAACUAGGAAUACCAAAAGCGAAGGCAAUCUUCUGGAACACUACUGACGCUGAGGCGCGAAAGCGUGGGGAGCAAACGGGAUUAGAUACCCCUGUAGUCC